rnacentral:rRNA from 1 species
GAUGAACGCUGGCGGCGUGCCUAAUACAUGCAAGUCGAGCGAACAGACGAGGAGCUUGCUCCUCUGACUUUAGCGGCGGACGGGUGAUUAACACGUGUAUAACCUACCUAUAAGACUGGGAUAACUUCGGGAAACCGGAGCUAAUACCGGAUAAUAUAUUGAACCUCAUUGUUCCAUAGUUAAAUACGGUUUUUCUGUCGCUAAUAGAUUGAUCCGCGCCGAAUUAGCUAGUUGGUAAGGUAACGGCUUACCAAGGCUACGAUGCGUAGCCGACCUGAGAGGGUGAUCGGCCACACGGGAACUGAGACACGGCCCAGACUCCUACGGGAGGAAGCAGUAGAGAAUCUUACGGAAUGGGGGAAAGCGUGACGGAGCAAAGCCGGCUGAGUGAUGAAGGUGUUAGGAUCGUAAAACUCUGUUAGUAGGGAAGAAGAAAUGUGCAAGUACCUAUGCACGUAAUGACGGUACCGAAUCAAAAAGCCACGGCUAACUACGUG